CCAGCUUUAAAACCAUCGCUAUUGGAGGUCGCCGCUAAUUAUUUCUUUAAUUAGGUCAGGCUGAUCCAUGAAAUGGUGAUGACCUGAUGUCUGGUACAUUU